CCUUUGACGUUAGCGGCGGACGGGUGAGUAACACGUGGGUAACCUACCUAUAAGACUGGGAUAACUUCGGGAAACCGGAGCUAAUACCGGAUAAUAUUUCGAACCGCAUGGUUCGAUAGUGAAAGGUGGUUUUGCUAUCACUUAUAGAUGGACCUGCGCCGUAUUAGCUAGUUGGUAAGGUAACGGCUUACCAAGGCUACGAUACGUAGCCGACCUGAGAGGGUGAUCGGCCACACUGGAACUGAGACACGGUCCAGACUCCUACGGGAGGCAGCAGAC
rnacentral:rRNA from 1 species